UCCCGGUGCCAGGGUGGCCUCACCCCUUGCUGGGUGUCCCCACACCCCGGCCCAGCUGUGGCCCAGGAGCAGCCUCAGGGCUGCCAGGGGGUCACUGCUGGGUCCCUUCCCAGAGCUCAGAUCCAGCCUGGAGCUCAGGGGUCCCCUGGGAUCCAUCCCCACCCUCCAGCCCUGCCCCCCAGCUGCUCCCAGCCCUGCCAUCCACCCCAGCUGGGGAAUGGGGUCGAGUUUUGGGAGAAGAACGCAAAAAAUGGAAACCAGACACUGGUGUGAGCAGAGACUCCCCCAGACUCCCACUCCCUGCUCCUUGCUCUGCAUCACCUCAUCUGAGCUCCCAGGAUGAGUUUCUGCUCCCCAUGGGGGAGAUUUCCUCUGCAUCCACUUGGGAACUUCUCCAGCCUCAGCACGAGGUGCCAGGGGGGUUUGUGGAGCUGGAGAAGGGAACAGAGCUGGGAGAGCAGGAGCUGCCAGGACAUCCUCACCUGGGUCACAUCUGCACAGGGAUGGGCUCAGCAGGAGGGUGACAGCGCUCCCAGCACUCCCAGUGCUCCCAGCACCUCACCCUGGUACCGCCCUACAUUUAACACCCCAUGGUCAUGUCCCCCAUGGGAGUUCCUUCCCAGGCAGGGGCUCUGUGACACCCCAUAGUCCCAUCCACAUCCUGGGCAAUGGCCUGGCUGCUGCCUCCCCUGCCCAGCCCCAGCCCACGGGGUACCAGCCACCCCUAAGGGAUGCUCCAGCUCCCCACAUUCUUCUGGAAUCCCAAAGGGAUCCUUUCCCCUCCCCACAGGUGUUUCCAGUUCCCCACAUUCUUCUGGAAUCCCAAAGGGACGCUCUCCCUUCCCCAGGAGAUGCUUCAGCUCCCCAUGUUCUUCUGGGCCCCCAAAGGGAUCCUUUCACUUCCCAAGGGGAUGUUCCAGCUCCUCACAGGUGUUUCCAGCUCCACACAGUUCUUCUGGCACCCCAAAAGGAUCCUUUGCCUUCCCAAGGGGAUGUUCCAGGUCCCCAUGGGUGUUUCCAGCUCCACACAGUUCUUCUGACACCCCAAAGGGAUCCUUUUCCUUCCCCAGGAGAUGCUCCAGCUCCUCACAGGUGUUUCCAGCUCCCCACAUUCUUCUGGAACCCCAAAAGGAUCCUUUCCCAGGGGAUGCUCCAGGUCCCCAUGGGUGUUUUGAGCUCCCCACAAUUCUUCUGGCACCCCAAAGGAAUCCUUUCCCUCUCCCAUGGGUGUUUUGAGCUCCCUACAGUUCUUCUGACACCCCAAAAGGAUCCUUNNNN
rnacentral:lncRNA from 1 species